rnacentral:rRNA from 1 species
GACGAACGCUGGCGGCGUGCUUAACACAUGCAAGUCGAACGGAAAGGCCCUGCUUUUGUGGGGUGCUCGAGUGGCGAACGGGUGAGUAACACGUGAGUAACCUGCCCUUGACUUUGGGAUAACUUCAGGAAACUGGGGCUAAUACCGGAUAGGAGCUCCUGCUGCAUGGUGGGGGUGGGAAAGUUUCGGCGGUUGGGGAUGGACUCGCGGCUUAUCAGCUUGUUGGUGGGGUAGUGGCUUACCAAGGCUUUGACGGGUAGCCGGCCUGAGAGGGUGACCGGCCACAUUGGGACUGAGAUACGGCCCAGACUCCUACGGGAGGCAGCAGUGGGGAAUAUUGCACAAUGGGCGGCAGCCUGAUGCAGCAACGCCGCGUGCGGGAUGACGGCCUUCGGGUUAUAAACCGCUUUCGCCUGUGACGAAGCGUGAGUGACGGUAAUGGGUAAAGAAGCACCGGCUAACUACGUG